AGAGUUUGAUCAUGGCUCAGGACGAACGCUGGCGGCGUGCCUAAUACAUGCAAGUCGAGCGGAGUUAUCCUUCGGGAUAGCUUAGCGGCGGACGGGUGAGUAACACGUAGGCAACCUGCCUGCAAGACUGGGAUAACAUUCGGAAACGAAUGCUAAUACCGGAUACGCAGUUUCCCCGCAUGAGGGAACUGGGAGAGGCGGCGCAAGCUGCCACUUGCAGAUGGGCCUGCGGUGCAUUAGCUAGUUGGUGGGGUAACGGCUCACCAAGGCGACGAUGCAUAGCCGACCUGAGAGGGUGAUCGGCCACACUGGGACUGAGACACGGCCCAGACUCCUACGGGAGGCAGCAGUAGGGAAUCUUCCGCAAUGGACGAAAGUCUGACGGAGCAACGCCGCGUGAGUGAUGAAGGUUCUCGGAUCGUAAAGCUCUGUUGCCAGGGAAGAACAGCCAGGCGAGUAACUGCGCUUGGCGUGACGGUACCUAGAAGAAGCC
rnacentral:rRNA from 1 species